rnacentral:rRNA from 1 species
UAAGUUACUAAGAGCUUAUGGUGGAUGCCUAGGGACUAGAAGGCGAUGAAGGACGUGCAAAUCUGCGAAAAGAUACGGUGAGUUGAUUAGAAACUGUGACCCGUAUAUCUCCGAAUGAGGAAACUCAGCUAGUAGUAAUGCUAGUUAUCUUUAACUGAAUACAUAGGUUAUUGAAGCAAUACCUUGUGAAGUGAAACAUCUCAGUAGCAAGAGGAAAAGAAAACGAAGUGAUUCCGUAAGUAGUGGCGAGCGAAAGCGGAACAGGCCAAACCGAUAUUUAUAUCGGGGUUGUAGGACUACAAUGUGGACUUAAGAUGGAUAGUAGAAAUAGUUGGGAAGCUAUGUCAUAGAAGGUGAAAACCCUGUAUACGAAAUUCAUUUUAUACCUAGUAGGAUCCUGAGUACGGCGGGACACGAGAAAUCCUGUCGGAAUCUGCCCAGACCAUUGGGUAAGCCUAAAUACUAACUAGUCACCGAUAGCGUAUAGUACCGUGAGGGAAAGGUGAAAAGAACCCAGAGAUGGGAGUGAAAUAGAAUCUGAAACCAUAAGCUUACAACGUGUCAGAGCACAUUAAUGUGUGAUGGCGUGCGUUUUGAAGAAUGAGCCGGCGAGUUAUUUUAGCAUGCAAGGUUAAGCUGUAGAAGUGGAGCCGUAGGGAAACCGAGUCUUAAUAGGGCGAUAUAGUAUGUUGAGAUAGACCCGAAACGAGAUGAUCUAGCCAUGGGCAGGUUGAAGUCUGGGUAACACCAUAUGGAGGACCGAACCGACGUUCGUUGAAACGACCGCGGAUGACCUGUGGUUAGUGGUGAAAUUCCAAUCGAAUCUCGUGAUAGCUGGUUCUCACCGAAAUAAUUUUAGGAUUAGCGUUAGAUAAUUGAUAUAUGAAGGUAAAGCACUGAAUACCUGAUGGCGCCACCUAGGUGUACUGAAUGUAAUCAAACUCUGAAUGUCAUAUAUUUUAUUCUAGCAGUUAGACUAUGGGGGAUAAGCUUCAUAGUCGCGAGGGAAACAGCCCAGAUCGUUAGCUAAGGUCCCAAAUAUAUACUAAGUGGAAAAGGAUGUUGAAAUACUUAAACAGCUAGGAUGUUGGCUUAGAAGCAGCCAUCGUUUAAAGAGUGCGUAAUAGCUCACUAGUCGAGUGUUUCUGCGCCGAAGAUUUAACGGGGCUAAGUAUAUAACCGAAGCUACGAACUACAUUUAUGUAGUGGUAGGUGAGCGUUCUAUGCAGGAUGAAGGUAGAUCGUGAGAACUACUGGACAGCAUAGAAGUGAGAAUGCCGGCGUGAGUAACGUAUGAAAGUGAGAAUCUUUCAAGCCGUAUUGACUAAGGUUUCCAGGAGUAGGUUCGUCCAUCCUGGGUUAGUCGGUCCUAAGGCCAGGCCGAGAGGCGUAGUCGAUGGGAAACAGGUUAAUAUUCCUGUACCAAUAAUAUGAGUGAUGGAGUGACGGAGAAGGUUAAUAUGGGCCCAUUAUCGGAUUUGGGUUUAAAUAUCGAGUCUUGCAAGUUGGCAAAUCCGCUUGCUUUAAGGACGAGGUAUGAGUACAAGGGAUCUCUUCGGAGUGAACAAAGCCAUAUAUAUCACGCUUCCAAGAAAAGCUUCUAACUUUAUCAUAUUAUUGUCCGUACCGAGAACGAACACACGUGGUCAAGGAGAGUAUCCUAAGGCUAGCGAGUUAACUAUUGUUAAGGAACUCUGCAAAUUAAUCCCGUACGUUCGCAAUAAGGGAUGCUUAUUUUAUAUAAGCCGCAGUGAAGAGCGAGAGGGGACUGUUUAACAAAAACACAGCUUUAUGCUAAACCGUAAGGUGAUGUAUAUGAGGUGACACCUGCCCAGUGCUGGAAGGUUAAGGAUGGAUGUUAGGUAUUUAUACCGAAGCUUCUUACCGAAGCCCUAGUGAACGGCGGCCGUAACUAUAACGGUCCUAAGGUAGCGAAAUUCCUUGUCGGGUAAAUUCCGUCCCGCUUGAAUGGUGUAACCAUCUCUUGACUGUCUCGACAAUAGACUCGGUGAAAUCCCGGUUAGGGUGAAGACGCCCUAUAGGCGCGAUUGGACAAAAAGACCCCAUGAAGCUUUACUGUAGCUUAAUAUUGGGAAAGUUUAAUUCAUUUAGAGUAUAGGUAGGAGACUUUGAAGCGCAUUCGCUAGGAUGUGUGGAGUCACCAUUGGAAUACUACCAUUGAAUUAAGUUUUCUCUAACUUACCUCCAUGAAUCUGGAGGUAGAACAGUGUUAGGUGGGCAGUUUGACUGGGGCGGUCGCCUCCCAAAAUGUAACGGAGGCGCGCAACGGUACCCUCAAUAUGGUUGGAAAUCAUAUGCAGAGUGUAAUGGUAUAAGGGUGCUUGACUGCGAGACUUACAAGUCGAGCAGGUAGGAAACUAGGUCAUAGUGAUCCGGUGGUUCCGUAUGGAAGGGCCAUCGCUCAACGGAUAAAAGCUACUCUGGGGAUAACAGGUUAAUAGUGCCCAAGAGUUCAUAUCGACGGCACUGUUUGACACCUCGAUGUCGACUCAUCUCAUCCUGGAGCUGAAGCAGGUUCCAAGGGUUCGGCUGUUCGCCGAUUAAAGAGAUACGUGAGUUGGGUUCAAACCGUCGUGAGACAGGUUGGUUUUUAUCUGUCGUGCCCGUUAGAAAAUUGAGAAGAUCUGCUCCUAGUACGAGAGGACCAGAGUGGAGAUACCUCUAGUGUUCCAGUUGUCAUGCCAAUGGCAUAGCUGGGUAGCUACGUAUCGAAUAGAUAAACGCUGAAAGCAUCUAAGUGUGAAGCUAACUUCAAGAUUAAUUUUCUUUAAGAAUCGUUGAAGACUACGACGUUGAUAGGUUGGAGGUGUACGCAUGGUGACAUGUUUAGCUGACCAAUACUAAUUAUUCGAAAAC